UAGUUUUGAUGCGUGCAGCUCUCAACCCCUAUUACCUGUCGACUGCUGCCACCACAGAUGGCCCGGGGCGAUGCUCAGCGUGAGAGAAAAAACUUUGAGUUUCAUUUGCAGUGUCUUUAGACACAUUAAAUCUAUUACUAUCAAUUAAAGUGUCUGAAGAGACUACAAAAAAACCAGAGAAAACAGACAAUGAAAGCUGUAAACAAAACUACAGCUGAAAGAUAAAAACAACAAACAUUGAAGACUGAGAAGACAAAACUACGACUGAAGGAAAAAUACACAGAAAAGCUACAACAGCAGCUAACAAGUAAAUAAAACAGCAGCUAACAGGUAAACUAUAAUCCAGAGAGAAUCAUUUUAACCUUCCAGCUGCAGCACAGAUUCUACUCUUCAGAGUUCACACCUGGAAUAUCAAACACAAGAAACAAAGACAUCAGGGUUUAAAGUUCAUGUCAGGUUGAAACAUGGUGCACACAUUCAAAACAUGUUAGAUUAUGGUGAAAAAAGUUUAGAUUUAGGAGCUCUUAAACGUGUGCAUAUAUGGGUCAUUUACAAUUGUUCAAUACAUGAAAAGUAAAUGAGCCAUUCUGUACAUUACUCAUUUUAAAUUCAUUAACUGAAAAUACUUCUUACCUUUCUGAAAGAAAAGUCAAAUAAUAUUGUUGCUACAUUUACUGAAGUCAAAAGAAUCU